UCUGGAAUUCUCCUCCUCUCCCGAUUUAUCCUCUUCCUCCCCUCCCGAGAAUAGCCUCACGGGCUUCCAUGGGGUCACGUCCCACGGCAAUGCCGGCAGGCCGCCCCUCUAUUAUUCUGCUCACCAUUGUGGACCUCCACGGGCGCAGCACACGAGGAGGAGGGGCAUCUCGCCGAGUUCCCUAGGCCGGCCAUGGCAGUGCGGUGCCUCGCCGAUCCGGCCUCCGACGAACUCGGGAGGGAGACGGGGUGGCGGCGGUAUGGAGAUGGGACGGAGAAAGAGGCGACCGCGGCCUCCCCCAACCCCCUGCAAGUCCGGCACGUCAUCGUGCUGUUCUAGACGAGAGGAAUCAGCACGGCGGCCAUGGAGGCAUCGACGACGGCGCGCUGCGAAGGUCGGCGGCCGGGGUCGGCGUUGGGGGGAAGCGAGAAUCUGUGUCGGUAACAGAAGGGACCGCGAUGGUGCUGGCGGCGCCCCUUAUUCUCUCUCCCUGGCCGGGUGCUGCCCCCGGCGCAGCACGGUGGAGGAGCUCGGGGCCUCCUCUCUUCUAGAGGCGGCUGCGGGCGUGGAUGAGCCGAUGAGGACCUGGGCGCCCUCCUCUUCUCCCCGACAUGUAUUGGAGAAGAGCUGACGCGGCCAUCCUCAUAGUGUCGCUGGCGGAGCGGCUGGAUUGGAGUGGGGGCGCUGAAGGUUGCCGGGGCCCUCUCUCUCCCUGGCCACCGUCGCGCCUGGGUGCACGUCCGAGGUGCCGUCGGUCUCCAGGUCUUGCGCGCGGUAGGUUCGAGCGCGGCCACCGACGCCGACGACGAGCCACGAGCGGUGGUGGCGGAGUUCUCGGUGGAGAGCACGACGGCGACGCGCCACAGGUAAGUGACGUUGAACUCGCUGCGGCCAACCUCCCGGCAGCUCUUGCUCGCGGCAGUUCCGUCGCGCAGCGCAAAGCUCCCUCCUGCCCCUGCUCACUGCAGAGUUCCUCCGCGCCGCACGCAGCUCUAGGCCCAUGCUGGACGCCGAGUCCCACCGCGUCUCCUGUUCACCUCAACGCCGCCCCUAUUUGCGCCAGAGUCCUGCCAUGCUGCCCGCCCCUGUUCGAUGCUCAAGAUGCCGUGCCCGUGCUCACCUGGUGAUUAGUGUCCGAGGCGUGGCCGGCCUCCGGCCGUCAGGUAUGCCUUCAGAUCCUGCACGGGGAAAUUCCUCUAAUGGCUGUGUCGGCUGAUUCUGCUGCCGAGUCAGCCUCUACGUAUCUUGGCCUGUAGGCCUUUAGAAUUCAUGCUUUUCUGAACAACUUGGCAAUCAGAAUACCACUCCUUCUGUAAAUGAAGAUUUUUUUCACGUUUUUCAGAAAUUUUACAUGUGAUUGAUACAGCUGCGUCCCGGUCUGCCAAAGCAAAGCUGAACAACAUAAUUUUGUGGCUUUAUUUAUUAAAUUAAACCAUAUCAUAAUUUUGAGAGCUAGAUUGUCAGUUAUUAUUCUGAACCAAGCUAGCCCAACCAACUAAGAGGUAUAGAAACAUUUUAUUUGGUGGUAAAGUUAUGAUCUGACUCCACAAUCUUCAUGCUUACCAAACAUUUUAAUUGGCUCUCUAAAGUAGCUCAUGCCUCGGUAGGCCUACAUUUUAUAUGUUGGAUCCAUAUGGUGCCAGUUAGUUAAUCAGUUAAGUCGUUCAUGUAGGAUAACUGUCGGCUCAGUUUAACAAUUAUCUUAGCUGACUAAUUAUGGUGACUAAUUGAGUGAUUACUUAGAAUUUGGUCUAGAGAUGCAGUGUUCUGUUGAGAGUAUGAGUAGUACUAAUUAUUGCGCAUAUUUGUGCAUUUGCGCCCUCUGCAAUCUCACUUAUAGACUGCAAGAAGUAUUAUCAAAUUCUUUCCUACAAGAUAAUAAAGACGAUGGUGUCCUACUUAAAUAAAAUGUUGUGUUCCGAGCAAGCUCAUGGUUGUUUGCACUUGAGAAAAGAUUGUACCGUUGUGUUCAAUUUAAGGGACACUGCAUUUCUAAAUCAACAUUGUCAUAUGUUCCAUGACAGUAAACUAAGCUCCAGUGACAUGUUCAUACCUAAGCCAAGAAGCUGGCACGACACGGAUUAUACACUGCCAGAUCACCAGCCCCACUAGACUAAUUUGUACGAGUUCUUUGAGACCUGGAUUGUUCUAUUAUGUGAGCUAUGGUUAUGUAUAGCUUCAUAUUCUGGGUUUUCCUUAUUGAGCAAGUGGCAUGCAGAGAAACAUAAAUUGCAUAUUGGUUCAUGCACUGGGCAGGCUUGCUGCUCCUGGACGACGGCACGGUAGGCUCUUGAUCAACGGUGAAGUCAGGAAUACCUGAUGUUGAGUGGCAGGCAUUAGUGCACUUCAGGUGACACUCAUUGGAUUUUUAGGUUGAAAUUUUUGUUGUUACUCACCCACUCAUCAUGUCCUAACACUCAUGUAUUACCUGAUGUUUUGGCCUAGAAACUGGAUUGAUAAUAAUUCAGUGGUUGUCAUUACUACACCUGCUAUUUUUUUUGCUAAUGUUUAAUAUAGAAAAGGUUGUCGUAGGAGCUUCCAGAUUAUUGUGUUUGUGCCUUCGUUAUUAUAAUCUUGCACAUGGUGGCGUGAUCUUCGAUUGACAUCCGGGGUAAUACUCGAUUGGUCAUGAUUGGGUGUAGAGACCGCUUCACUCUCUCAAUUAGACACAAGAGGCAACACAGCUCUAUGGCAGUCGCAUCGGCAACAAAAUUAAGUAGUACAAUAUGUCUCUCUCUUUGAAUCAGUACACUUUCAAUUCCCCUAAUUAGCUCUACAAUGUAAUAAUAUAAUGCUGGAGCCAUUAAGUACAAUUCAACCCAGUUAGCUGAUUCAUGUGCGUUUGAUCUCAAGUCGAGUGAUCCACUUUUUUGUUUAUAUGCAGAUUCUAUGGAGUGCGCUUAAGCAGAUACUUACCAUCCCUACAGGUCGUGUCAACAACUCAUUCGGGAUAUUUGAGAUUGCCACUCUUCUGUAUGGAAAUGAAUCAGCCAUUUGCUUUCUCUGUGUUAGUGCAUAUGUAAAUGCUAUCUGGUUUGUGCGAUUGUGUUCUUCUCAUAUCCUCUUUGCAAUAUGUCAAUCAUUUUUCUAAAUAUGUUUACAAAAAUAUUAUAUGCACAUACUACCUCUUCUAUCCAACCAUUGAAAAAUGUCUAUUAUAAGCUAUUACUAACAUGCAGCUAUCAGAAAAACGUACUUAUAUGCUUCAAUGAUAUCAGUUGGCAGUAUGAUUCACAUUUUCGAGAGCCCACAUAAAAUUCAAUACUGUUACCGAUUGAACACCAAUUUUGUUAGCUAAAUAUUUUUAUAUAUUUCUUACCUAGGGCAAAAAAGAAAAGUUAUGGUUACAUUUGUAGUUGUACCCCUAUGUUUCAACACUAGGUAAUCUAUUUGGAUUGACGGUUAGAUUCUCCACCUUGAUGGAAAGAAGAGACCUGAGAGCGACACUACAAUCAAACAUACACUUGCUCAUCAUGGAACUACUGCAAGGAAAACAAUGCUAGCCAUUACCUUACAGUCUUGGCCACUCUACAGAAUACCUACCCUGACAGGUUGAUGGCUGCGGCCUAAGGUGCCAAAGGUCUGAACUUCCAAUAGCAACACCAAAGAUUUCUUCAUACAUACACGGUCGACUGGAUGUUUGUUCUUGCUCUAGGGGAUGAAAAGAUCAUAGAGGCACUGGAGCUGAGAAGGAUCCUCUUUUGCAUAUGGGUGUUUUAUCGGUUACUGAAGAUCGCGGUGGACCAAGUGAAGAGCUCACCAUCCUCUCAUCCAACCAUGAAGAUGACGGCACCGAGCAAUGACAACUCAAAGACGUGGGAACACUGACACCACCCAUCCUACUGUGGUACGUACUUGUGGAUCUCUGCUUAGCUUUUCUCGCUAGAAAAGAGCUGUCAUGUAUACCAAAUAGAAUUUAGGAUCUAUGAUAUUUAUGCAAGUCAUGUAUACCAAAUAGAAUUUAGGAUCUAUGAUAUUUAUGCAAGGCAGUUCCAUGAACUAUGUAAGCAAGUUCCAGGUAUAAAUUAAUACGACCGGCUAACCUCCGUUUUAUAA